rnacentral:lncRNA from 1 species
CUGCUUGAGAAGUUGGAAAAACCAGGAGGACUAACAGGGGCGUGUAAAGCAAUCCGGAGCUACAAAAGGAGGGACCCCACACAGGCUAAGUCUAGUCC